CAGCUACUCCGGAGGCUGAGGCAGGAGAAUGCUGUGAACCCGGGAGGGGGAGCUUGCAGUGAGCCGCCAUCCAGAAGUGCUGGGAUUACAGGUGUGAGCCACCGCGCCCGGCCUGAAAAGUGCAUCUUCAUUUUACAGGGAAUUCUUUCAAAUCAAAUAAUCAAAAACUGUAAAAGGGGGCAAAGUACUUUUUUGCAGAUCUACAAGUUUCUUAUGUAAAUAGGAAAAAAAGCCUUUGCUUUUCUGGUAUAAGAAUUUAAAUUAAAAGAGGAAUGAAACUGUUUUCUAUCCACAAUGUGUGAGGAUGUUUUUUAUACUGCUGCCUGAAGUUUAAGUUGCUGAUUACUUUUUAAAUAGAUAAUUUGGUGGUAAGUACUAUAUUUUAAAAAUGCGUAUGCCCGUUACCCUUCAAUUCCAUUAUACUAAAAUACCCUUGGGAAAUAGAGAUACAUGCACUUUGUUUUUCACAGCACUUAUUUUAAAAAGAACCCAUAGAAUGGAUCUUAUAAGUAAAUUUCAGUUGCAUCCAUAGGAUGCAAUAAUAUGUGACCAUCAAAGGUGACAAUAGAUAUAGAAGUACGUUGAUGUGCGAAGAUGUAUUUUGUUUUAGCCAGCGAGGAAAAAAGAAUCAGUUUGAUUAUACAUUUACCAAACAUUAAGAAUUUAAUAUGGUAACUUUUAUUUCAGUAUUAAAAUAGCAAUUUUAUUUAUUACUUUUUUAUAUACAGAAUUCGACACCAAAUUUUGGAACUUAAAAAGAAGAUUCUUAAAACUUACAAUCCAGAUUACGAUGAGGACCUGGUGCAGGAAGCUUCAUCUGAAGAUGUCCUGGGCGUUCAUAUGGUGGACAAAGACACAGAGAGAGACAUUGAGAUGAAACGGCAACUACGGCGACUACGGGAGCUCCACCUAUACAGCACAUGGAAGAAGUACCAAGAGGCGAUGAAGACAUCCUUGGGAGUUCCACAAUGUGAGCGUGACGAAGGCUCCUUGGGCAAGCCAUUGUGUCCACCCGAGAUACUCUCGGAGACGUUGCCAGGCUCUGUGAAGAAAAGGGUAUGCUUUCCAUCAGAAGAUCAUCUAGAGGAGUUUAUAGCAGAACAUCUCCCUGAAGCAUCCAAUCAGAGUCUCCUCACUGUUGCCCAUGCAGACACAGGCAUCCAAACCAACGGUGACCUGGAAGACCUGGAGGAGCAUGGGCCAGGGCAGACAGUCUCUGAGGAAGCCACAGAAGUUCACAUGAUGGAGGGGGACCCAGACACACUGGCCGAACUUCUGAUCAGGGAUGUACUUCAGGAGCUGUCCAGUUACAACGGCGAGGAGGAGGACCCAGAGGAGGUGAAGACAUCCUUGGGAGUUCCACAACGUGGUGACCUGGAAGACCUGGAGGAGCAUGUGCCAGGGCAGACAGUCUCUGAGGAAGCCACAGGGGUUCACAUGAUGCAGGUGGACCCAGCCACGCCGGCAAAGAGUGACCUGGAAGACCUGGAGGAGCAUGUGCCAGGGCAGACAGUCUCUGAGGAAGCCACAGGGGUUCACAUGAUGCAGGUGGACCCAGCCACACUGGCAAAGCAAUUGGAAGACUCCACCAUUACAGGCAGCCACCAGCAGAUGUCAGCAAGUCCUUCCUCUGCACCUGCAGAAGAAGCAACAGAAAAGACCAAAGUGGAAGAGGAAGUGAAAACCAGAAAGCCCAAGAAGAAAACCAGGAAGCCCAGCAAGAAAAGCCGGUGGAAUGUCCUGAAAUGUUGGGACAUUUUUAAUAUAUUUUAGAGACCUCUGAAGAUUCCUCGACCACCAGGAAGGGCCCCGACGUGGGGAUGUCAACAUGGCUCAGACUUGAUGUGGAUCGUGAUCAUUUCGGGAAAUGUGUUACUCCAAAAACUUUUAUAAUCUUUGCUUAAUUUGUUUUUAAAUACUUUCCUGGCUGGGCGUGGUGGCUUAUGCCUGUAAUCCCAGCACUUUGGGAGGCCGAGGCGGGUGGAUCACCUGAGGUCAGGAGUUAAAGACCAGCCUGGCCAACAAGGUGAAACCCCGUCUCUACUAAAAAUACAAAAAUUAGCUAGGCGUGGUGGCGCACUCUUGUAGUCCCAGCUAUUUGGGAGGCUGAGGCAGGAGAAUCACUUGACCUCAGGAGGCGGAGGUUGCAGUGAGCCGAGAUCAUGCCACUGCACCCCAGCACCUGGCUACAGAGUGAGACUUUGUCUCAAAAAAAAAAAAAAAAGAACAAAAAAAUUCUGACUUUAACCUCUGUUUUUCAGAGGGCACAAAUUGUUCUUGUAUUGUUUCCAUUUUACAUUUUUUUCUUGAAGUUAUUUUCCAAUUGUUUUCAUUCUUUCUGAAGUUUUGUUUACUCGGUUUUAAGUUUUUGUAAUUUUGAUAGACUUUUGUGCUUUCAUUUUCUUAAUGACUUUUACCUCAUUUUUAAAACAAAUCCAUAGUAUGGAUGAUAUUGAUGAUGAAAUGUCUUACGAUGAUCAUUUAGAGGUUUAUUUUGAACAACUGGCAAUUCCAGGAAUGAUGGAAUAAAGCAUACGAAGUAGAAGGACUGGAACCUCCAGAAAAAGUACUUUAAGUUACCUACAGGUGAUCCUAGUCAGGCAAAUGAAAACAGUAGCCUAAAGUGUCAGUUUCAACCAGAAAAUAACAGCUCUGAUUUCUCAUGGCUCAUACUCGUCUGAAACGACUCAGGUAGAGGCUGAGGAAGGCCGUGUUGUUUGUCUACCUGGGACUACACCUACUGAAAGAAGUUCUCAAGUUCUGAUUGAGUUCUAAAAUUUUUUGAAGAUUGGAAUUCUUCAUAUGUAAAAAGAGAAGAGAAAGACAUUCUUGAUUUUGGUGACUAGAGUUGUAGAUGCUGGAAGCUUUGCCACUAACAUUGAUGAACCAGAUGCAUGUCACCAGCCCAUCACGGUGAUUCUUAAUGCCGGCACCAUGGGCCCGGCACUGCCACGUUUUCCAAGGAACCUGCCGGAGCUCCUGCGGAAGCUGCUCCUCAGGCGAUGGAGUCCCUUCGCUGGUAGGCCCUUCUUCAGUCACCACAGGAUGCCUGCCAUUCAUGAACAAGAAGGAGAGGACGGGCUUUGAAUAAAAAACAGGAUCCAGGAAAUAUUUGUGAGGCCAUUUGGACUUCAGUGUGAAAUGGUGUUAAAAGAUGAAGUCAUUUAUUCAAGAAGUAAACCUCUGCCACCUGGACUGUGCGCAGACAUUUCAUUGAUUUUGUUUAAUAAACAUUUUCUGGCUUUGGGAGGUGUCUCUCUUGGUAGAACACAGUGUCAAAGAUGGACAAGAUGGACACAUAGUCCAUUAUUUGGUAUUGUUUGUGUAUGGGAGCAGACCACAAAUUAAUGUUUGGAGAACAAUUUUGUCAUAACACACUGUUGAGGCUCAGUUGUACAGAACUGGAAAAGUCUUCAGCUUGGCACAUGUCCUGAUUCAGCCUUUGUUUAACAUAUAUUCCAAUCCGGAUUCUAUCUUCACUGGCUACAAAGACCACCUGAUACGUGCACCACGACACAGGAGCUGCUGGAGAGGGGGUAGUGUUAUCACCUCAAACCCACAGCCAUAUUUUUCAAAAGCCAGCUUAGAGAGAGGUGUACUGAUAGCUGCAUAGAGAACAUGCAGUCCAUCCAUUCUUCCCAGUGAUGUACAUUUCUCAAUCAGUAACCACGUGGUAUACCAGCCUUGAGUGUCACAUCUCCCAACCAUACCAAAUGGAUCACCUAACUGGAGGUGGGGGGGGCCCUCAGAAAUGAGAUUUCGUAUUUACUGUAAAAUUGCCUUAUUUUUUCUUUUGAGGUGGAGUCUCACUCUGUUGCCUGGGCUGGAGUGCAAUGGUGUGAUCACUGCUCACUGCAACCUCCGCCUCCUGGGUUCAAGCAGUUCUCCUGCCUCAGCCUCCCAAGUAGCUGCAAUUACAGGUGCAUGCCACCACUCCCAGCAAAUUUUUAUAUUUUUAGUGGAGACAGGGUUUCACCAUGUUGACCAGGCUGGUCUCAAACUCCUGACCUCAGGUGAUCUGCCCACCUUGGCCUCCCAAAGUUCUGGGAUUAAAGGUACGAGCCACCGCAACUGGCUGAGAAUCUUUUUAUUUGCUGAUUUGUCUCUUGUGUAUUUUCUUUGUUCAGAUGUCUCUUCAGAUCUUUUUCUCACUUUUAAAUUGUUUUUUAAUUGUUAAGAAUUUUCUGUCUAGUUUAGAUAUAAGCCCUUUAUCAGACAUGUGUUUUGCAAAUAUUUUCUCCUAGUCUGUGGCUUGUAUUCUGUCUCUUAACACUCAUUUUAUUUUUACUUUUGGAACUAAAGAAGAAGAAUGGUCAGCUUUCCAUUAUUCUUGUAACAGUAAUGGCAGAACCAAGUCUGCUAAUGCUACACUGAGCAAAGAAAGUCACCUGGUGAAGUCCAACAUUAAUGAAAUGGGGUAGUACAUGCAGGCAGCGUUGGGGGUGGGGAGGGAACAAAUGCUUCUUGAGAGUAAUAUAAUCUGCCAUACCAUCCAGGAACCUACAAUGGCUAUCUAUUACCUUAUUCUCUGGUUUGUUUAAUGUUCGAAUCUUUCCGAAAGAUCCUUCAACCUUUCUGGAAGAAUCUAAUCUGAUAACACCAUCAAAAACACAUUACUUCUUUUGGCAUAAUUUAAAUUGUAAGACAUCAUUCACAUUUAUCAAUGUUACAUAUAUAAGAACUCACCCACCAUAUUCUUCCUUGAGGAAUUACAGCAUGUAAUUCUAUAAUCAUUUUUAUAAUCGUCUAACAAUUUUAUAAUGGAUUGGUUGCUUACUAUCAAUUUUUUAAAAGUCAUGGCUUCUCCAGUCAUUUCUUGCUUAUCGAAAUUAUUUCAUGAGAUGGGUCUCUCCUUGUAUAUUUGAAAAUGAGGUUUGCUUCCUUCUACUUAAAAAACAACUUGAACAUACCUGUUUGGAUCACAUGGUCUUGUCCUGAUAACUUGGAAGAGGUUGCUUCAGCAUUGUUCUUAUUGUUGUGGUGGUUAUUAUUAAUAUUGUUUCAUAUUCUGUUUAAAAAAUUAAAAUUUUACACAAGACCAAUGUCUUCUUUUCAAUUCCAGUACAUUUUUCAGAAGUAACUAAUGCUAUUGGCUUUGUGCAUUGUAAUUUCAGACCAUUUUAUAUGUCUUUAGUUAUAUGUACAGUAUACACACAUAUGUGUCAUAUUAUUCCAUUUUUUCUAGCAUUAAACAUUGCUAUGGAAAACUCUCGGAAAAAUAUUUAUUUGAACAGAACUUUUUCUUUUCUCAGAUGUACCCUCCUUAGGAAUCUUUCUUUGAUCCUUGAAGUUUGGUAACAACUUUAAAUAUGUGUAUCCCAGCUGGGAGCAGCGGCUCACACCUGUAAUUUCAGCACUUUGGGAGGCCGAGGAGGGUGGAUCACCUGAGGUCAGGAGUUUGCCUGGCCAACAUGGUGAAACCCCGUCUUUACUGAAAAUACAAAAAGUUAGCCAGGUGUGGUGGCUGGCACCUGUAAUCCCAGCUACAUGGGAGGCUGAGGCAGGAGAAUCGCUUGAACCUAUAGAGACAAGGUUUCACCAUGUUGACCAGGCUGGUCUCGAACUCCUGACCUCAGGUGAUCCACCCACCUCAGCCUCCCAAAAUGCUGGGAUUACAGGCAUGAGCCAUUGCACCCAGCCAUACAGGAGCAAGUUUAAAAAUUAAAUAUUUAUUUGAAUAACAAGCUUACAUUGGAGCUGCAAUGUUGGCAAUCCAGAUUUUGAACACGGAUCACAAAAAGCAUGCAUAAAAUCCUACUGGCCCAGAGAACAAAACACUGCUCAGAAUUAAGCGAAAUAGCUGCUACUGUUAAGAAAACAGGCCUGAAAUCAAUAUACAAGAUUUUAAAAAAUGUAUUGGCCGGAUGCAGUGGCUCAUUCCUGUAAUUCCAGAACUUUGGGAGGCCAAGACAGGAGAAUCACCUGAGGUCAGGAGUUCAAGACCAGCCUGGCCAACAUGGUGAAACUCCAUCUCUACUAAAAAUAAAAAAUUAGCUGGGUGUGGUGACACAUGCCUGUAGUCCCAGCUACCUGGGAGGCUGAGGCAGAAUAAUUUCUCGAACCCAGGAGGAGGAGGUUUGCAAUGGCAUGAUCUCUGCUCACCGCAACCUCCGCCUCCCGGGUUCAAGCAAUUCUCCUACUUCAGCCUCCCGAGUAGCUGGGAUUACAGGCAUGUGCCACCAUGCCUGGCUACUUUUCUGUAUUUUUAGUAGAGACAGAGUUUCUCCAUGUUGGUCAGGCUGGUCUUGAACUCACAACCUCCGGUGAUCUGCCUGCCUCGGCCUCCCAUAGUGCUGGGAUUACAGGCAUGAGCCACCAUGCCUGCCCAUGAAAGCACUUUUAAAAAGAGAGCACCUCUGCUGCCUGGUCAUAUUCUGUACCUGUUCCCAAACCCUGAAACCAGUGAUGUCAAUGGCUGCGUGGGCAUUGAACGUGUACAUGAUUCCUGCAGCUUUCCUGUUGACCUGGACCAUGUUCAUCAAUGCUUUUUGGUACAUUAAUUCUACAUCUUCUUCGGUGACCACAGUUUAUGUUUAUUUCAUUUUUCAGGAAUAUCCAGCCACUGGUGCACAGCCAUUGCCACUUGUGCCCCCAGGGGAUCUUGUCAACUCCAGUAUGUCCCCCCAGCACUGUGUUAUCUGGCAUAAUAAAUGUAGUUGGGCUGUAGUUGUAGUGACUCCUCCCAAAACAACCCAGGAGUUUAAUACUGUUUGGCCACCGGUUACAGACAUUGCUGCCCCUUCCGCUGCGGCUUUAAAAGCCUAUCUAAUCGGCUGGGUGUGAUGGUGGCUCAGACCUAUAAUCCCAGCACUUUGGGAGUCCAAGGUGGGUGGAUCACCUGAGGUCAGGAGUUUGAGACCGGCCUGGCCAACAUGGUGAAACCCCAUCUCUACUAAAAAUACAGCAAAUUAGCUGGGCGUGGUGGCGCAUGACUGUAAUCCCAGCUACUCGGGAGGCUGAGGUAGGAGAAUUGCUUGGGUGGCAGAGUAAGACUCCGUCCCAAAAAAAAAAGUUAUCUAAUCAGGGACGUCACCUUUCCCUGCCAGUCAUUUUGUUACCAAUGAAAGAAAACAUAUUCAAAUCAAUUUUUAGUUCAGAAAAUGUUUCUUUCAUUGUAUCUUUGAAUUUUAUUGUUCUGCAUUUUUUACUUCAAAAACACCUACUAUAUGCAUUUUUUCUCUCGUUUCCUUUUUUUUCCAAGAAAUGUUUUUGUCCUUUUGAUUUUUUCACUGACCAUUACCAUUAUUUAUAUACCAUGUACCUGGAGAGUUUCCAAUGUUUCUCUUUGGUCUGAGAUACUUGCUAUGAUUUUCACUUUUUAAAUGCUCUUUUGAGAUUUGUUUUGUGGCCUAAAAUGUGGUCUAUCCUGGAGAAUGUUCUGUGAGCUGAUGAGAAGAAUGCACGUUCUGCAGUUGGUGGGUGAAAUGUUCUGUAAUUACCUGUGAGGUCCCUUUGACUUCUCUUGGAGUCAGUCUGGUCUGUUACUUUUCUGCCUAGAGGGUGUGUCUGUUGCUGAAAGUGGGUGUUGGAGUCCCCAGCUAUUAUUGUCUGUCUCUGUCUGUUGCUCGAAUAACUCUUACUUUAAUAACUGGGGCUCCUGUGUCAGGUGUGUUUACAUUGACAACUGUCCUACCUUCUUGCUGAAUUGAUCUCUUUAUCGUUUUAUAAUGACCUUUAUUUUCUAUUUUUGUGCUUUUUUGACUUAAAGCCUACUUUGUGUGACAAGCAUAGCUAUACAUACUCACUUUUGGUAACACUUUUCAUUUCUUAUCAUCUUCAUUGAAUCUCACUUCUUCACAUUUACCAAAAUGUCUACUUUUGAGCUGUGGCACCUCUUUGAAUCUUCAGAUCCACCACAUGCUGAUCAAGCCUUCCUUUUUGUCUGUACUCUGAGGAAUCCCAAACAGGCAUUUUUGCAAGAAAGUCUAGGAGGGAAACAUAAAUCUAUGUGUCAAAAAAAUGAACAUAGAAAAUAAUGUGUCCUGGUUAACAAAAGUUCUCAUUGUAAAGUGUUAGGCACAAGACUAUGGAAUUUCAUGUGCCAUAAAUAAAAUUGUCUUGAUUUGUCUAAAACUACAUUUUGUCUAAAACUACUUUUAAAAAUUACAUGUUACUCUAAUA
rnacentral:lncRNA from 1 species